ACUGCACCUCCGACCGGAACUGGAAGUGGUCUCUGGUUCCGUAUCUGUCCGACAUGUGUCGCGCCGGGCUGCAGAAACACUGCUGUGCUCAGAAGGGGGCCCUCCGUCACCGUGGUAGGACGUUGAUGCUGUACUGGUUGUGGAAGGAGAAGCGGGACGUCAUGGCGAACCGUCACACUACUCUGGUGGUGAUGCUGUGUUUGCUGGUCCUCAGUGUCCACAUAACCUGCGGUCUGCCGGGCGGCGCGAACACCCAGGUCCUGAGACGGGACCGGCCUGUCGUACACCAUGAGGUGAUUGCAGUUAUAAGCUGUUCGCCUGGAACCCGACGCUGUGGACGACGAGGGUGCUGCAGAACGCGCACGGGGCCACGCCCGCUGCGUCGCUGCUUACCCUGGCAAAUCAGCCACCCUGUGCAUGGGUGUAUCGGUUAGACACGGUGUUUGGGUGUAUCGGUUAGACACGGUGGUUGGGUGUAUCAGAUAAACCUCGUGUUUGGUGUAUUAGUUGAACCCCGGUGGUUGGGUGCAUCGGCUAGACACGGUGUCUAGGAGAUUCAGUUAAAACCGGCAUUUGAGGAUUCUGCUUAAGCUUGCUGCUUGAGUGUACCAGUUGAACUCAGUAUUGAGGUGUAUCCAACCCUCACAUAUACUGUUUGGGUGUACGCAUUAAACUCUGGCAGAUCCAUCACUGUUGUGUGUAUUCGCAAGCGCGUCGUUUCAUUCAAAACAGGUGCUUGGAUGUGUCAGUAAAUAUGGACUUGACCGUAUAAGGGUAACUCUGGUGUUAUGUGCAGUAAGUAAGCAUUUAAGUAAGCGUAUUCGUGCAUUUUAAGUAAAGAUUAAUGACUGUUGCUUGUUGAAUAUAUGACUCUGUACUCUGUAGCUACUGUCCAAACGCAUAUCCAUGUAAUGCGUGCCGCCUGCUUUGUUCACUGUAGGUAUAUUGUAGCAACGUGGUGGCAGUCUCCCAUAGCUGGCUGUCUCCUUUUGAAGACGAGAUAAUCGUCUCAUGCAUGUGAAUGUGUGAUUAGAAAAAAAAAAACAAAGGCAUGCAGUCGCUUCUGGCUAAUCAUAAGCAAAUCCAUCCCGCAGAAGCAGUGAGGUAGACAUGCGGUAUUCGCGGAUAAAGGAGAGGACAUAUCGUGGUGUUCAUUCUUGGAUGAGUCCACCGAAGGCUGGUAAUGAUUUUGUGGCAUUGAUUUAUUACGGAGCGAGCGGAGCAAGCGAAGUCUUUCGUAGAUUAACGGAAAUUUCUGAGAAUGAGCGGUGAAAUGACAUGAAAUGAAAUGGUAUGAUGGUAUAAAUGACACGGUGAAUGGUUACUAUUGUUUUUUAUCUAAAAUCUUGGAUUUGGGAUGAACUGUUGCUCAUUUAUUCAUGCACAUAUGUUUAACGCUCAUAUGCUUGUGGUUUAUGUGAAUCUGACGUUCCUUGCUUUUGGUUUGGGGAAGCGUUUGAGGCUGCCAGUGCCUAAUGUAUUAGCGAAGGUAUAUUGAUAAGUUUUCCCCACCUGUAAAGGUAAUUGGCAGGAAAUUUGCGUAUUCACAUAAUGCCCAGUCUAUUAUCGUUUAAGUAUGUUACGAAAUACAUAUUGGUAAAAAUCAAUAGAUAUAACGGCUCCCUAUCCCUUAUUGAAUGAGAGAAAGCAAAGAAUAGAAAUGAUGUGCAUCCAGACAGUGCUUUUCGUUAAUAUUGUUUGCAAACAACCUAAUGCUCUUUUUUACAAUCUUAUUUCAAUUCAAGUUUUGAACGAUAGGAGUAAGUGCGUGAUUGUAACCCUUUUUCUCACCGCUUCCAAUUGAGUAGAAAUAGCUUUUGCGUCGUGUGACAUAUCAAGUUGUUUCCCUCCGCCCCGGUCGUCCUACCGCGCCUCUCGUCAUGAAAAAUAAAACACUAUGCCUAGUGA
rnacentral:lncRNA from 1 species